CACGUAGGGCGCAAGCGUUGUCCGGAAUUAUUGGGCGUAAAGAGCUCGUAGGCGGUCUGUUGCGUCCGCUGUGAAAACCCAGGGCUUAACCCUGGGCUGGCAGUGGAUACGGACAAACUAGAGGUAGGUAGGGGAGAAUGGAAUUCCCGGUGUAGCGGUGAAAUGCGCAGAUAUCGGGAGGAACACCGGUGGCGAAGGCGGUUCUCUGGGCCUUACCUGACGCUGAGGAGCGAAAGCGUGGGGAGCGAACAGG
rnacentral:rRNA from 1 species